GUGAAUCAUCAAAUCUUUGAACGCAAAUUGCGCUUCCUGGUAUCCCGGGAAGUAUGCCUGUUUGAGGGUCAGUUUUAACAAAAAAAUCGGUUUGGUUUCAAAUUGUUACGUUUCCGGAGUUUGUGCUAUCUUAUCUUUUUUGGUUAAGGGGCUUAAAAUUUACCUUUUUUUCGUCUUUUUAUACGUACUUAAAUUUUUUUUUUUUUCGUCUUUUCU
rnacentral:misc_RNA from 1 species